rnacentral:lncRNA from 1 species
AUGUUACUCUUAUUUUCUUGUUGCAGAAACAGCUUCAGUGAUCAGGAGUCCAUAAAAUCAUCAAUGAUCCACAACCAGCCACAAGCCAGGAUGGAAAAGAGUAGCCAUAGAGACAGCUCAGGAAGCAGAAUGAGGUGAUUUACUGUGACAGCCAACCUUAGUCAUUGCCUAUCCACUAUGAGUUUGUGCCCACCCACAUUUUCAGUCCUAGCUUCACCACUGUCCCAGGUGCUCCAAAGAUGCUGCUGGAGUAGAAGACCUGGAUCUGCUGGCAAGGUAAUAUAAACUAAGUAAUUAGUAGGUGGUGAGACCGAGCAAUACUGAGCAUGGGCUGGUCAGUGAUGGUAU